rnacentral:tRNA from 1 species
GGUCCCGUAGUUCAGCAGGAUAGAACAUCGGAUUCCUAAUCCGAAGGUCGGAGGUUCGAGUCCUCCCGGGACCG